CACCGCGGUUAUACGAGGGACCCAAACCGAUACUCAACGGCGUAAAGCGUGAUUAGAGAAAACUAAAAACUAAAGAAGAACGUCCCCUAAGCUGUUAUACGCUAAUGGAAAGACUGAAACCCCACAACGAAAGUGACUUUAAAGCUCUUGAACUCACGAACAUUAAGAAA
rnacentral:rRNA from 1 species